rnacentral:rRNA from 1 species
UACGGGGGGGGCAAGCGUUGUUCGGAAUUACUGGGCGUAAAGGGCUCGUAGGCGGCCAACUAAGUCAGACGUGAAAUCCCUCGGCUUAACCGGGGAACUGCGUCUGAUACUGGAUGGCUUGAGUUUGGGAGAGGGAUGCGGAAUUCCAGGUGUAGCGGUGAAAUGCGUAGAUAUCAGGAGGAACACCGGUGGCGAAGGCGGUUCUCUGGGCCUUACCUGACGCUGGAGGAGCGAAAGCAUGGGGAGCAAACAGG